AAAAGAAUGAAAUGGUGACUAUGAAAAGACAAAAACGUAUUCAAAGAGUAAUAAAUUAUGAUUAUAAUUACCAUUAAUUGAUGAACGUUAAUGUAGAUUACCAUUAAUUCAUGAAACGUUAACGGAUAUACCGGAGAGGAGAGGGGAGGGGAAGGGUGGGCGAGAUGAAGAGAUGCCUAAUACGGUGAGAAUUAAAGGAGAGAGAAUUAAUACGUUAUUGGGGAUUAAUAGAAUAGGUAUAGAUAUAGAUUAUCUAUCUAUUAAUCUAAGAAUAAAGGGUUUCUUGCCACGUGGCAAGAAACAUUGUGGAUUCGUUAUGUUUAAUAGAUAUUAUAUUACUAGUGUAGUGAACUGUGCGAUGCGACGAAUAGAUAAUUAGAGAAAUAAUAAAAAAACAGUGACAAAAAGAAGAUGAGACAAUGAUGGAAGAAGCGACGAUAAGGAAUGAAAUUCAUCUUGUAAACGAUAGCCGAAGGAAGUGGAAGAAGAACAAUUCGGCCCAAUGCAGAAUUGCGAUCCGGUUUGGUUCAAGCAAAAAAAAAAAGAAAAACAUAAUUUGAUUCAAGUAAAGAAAGAGAAGAAUAUGUGGAUGACUUGAGUCGGUUCAGGGGAGCCCGCUCUGAAUAAUGAAUGAUUUGGUUUAAGUAAAUAAAAAGAAAAAUUCGGUUUGGUUCAAACAAAGAAAGAGAUAAAUAUAUAGAGAAUUUGAGCCGGUUUGGGGUGGAGCCCACACCCAACAAUGAAGUGAAUAUUGCAAUGUGGCAAAUUUAGGAAGAAUAAUACAUAGAAGUAGAUAGAUAUAGAUAUAGAUAGAGAGAAUUGCAUUGGAAUACUAUUAAUAGUAUCUGUGCUCUUUUGCUAUCGAGUUUUUAACACUUAUAAAUGAAAAAUUAUAGGGUUAGGAUGAUGGUGGUCUCCCAGGAUUUACUUGUGGUCUCCCUAAAGUUGAGAUAGUGGUUGGUUAAAUAGUAUGAUCUAAAAGAUAUAAUUGAUAAAAUUGUAGAUUUAACGAUUAAAAAAUUAAUAGCAAAAAAAGCCAAAUACUAUUAAUAAUAUUCCAGCUCCACUCUAGAUAUAGAUUACUAGUAUAGAACCCGUACUUCACUGCAGAUAAAUAAAUUAUGGUUAGUUGAUAGUAGUUUUUUGGAAGUGUUUUAAUAAAUCAAAAGAUGUUAUUAAAUAGACACUUUUUUAAAAAAUAUAAGCAAAACUAAUGUAAAGACUAACAAACUUUUAGAUGAAAUAAUUACAUAUAAGGGAUAAUUGCAUAUAUACCUCUCAAAACUUUGCAAAUAUCUUAUUUACCCCUAUUUUUUAUUUCUUUCCAAUAUACCCUCUAUAUGUUUCUCCGUUAUUUCAAAAUAUCCAUGCAGUUACCACCCGUUAAGUUAACUUGGGUUAAACGUGAGUUAAAUAUCUACCACAGUUAAAAAAAAUUAAAAUGCCACUUUUGUUCUUAAAUUAAGGACAAAUAAGAAAGGUUCGUGAUAGUAGAAGGGUAUAUUUGAAAAGACCAAAAAGUAAAAUACUUUUUGUGCCCCUAAUUUAAGAACAAAUAAGAAAAGUCACUGAUGGUAGAAGGGUAUAUUUGAAAGGGCAAAAUAGUAAAAAAAAAUCAAAAUACCUUUUUUGCUGUGAUGCUCAAAGGGUAUAUUUGAAAGGGCAAAAAGUCAAAAUAGUUUUUUUGCCCCUAGCCUAAGGCAAAUAAGAAAAGUCGGUAAUAAUGGAAAGAUAAAUUCGAAAAGAUAAAAUAAUAAUUUUACAGAGAUACCGGUUAUUUAUAACAACUUACUAACAGAACUUAAAACGUUAAAAACAUAUUUUCUU
rnacentral:lncRNA from 1 species